CCUACGGGGGGCUGCAGUGAGGAAUAUUGGUCAAUGGACGAGAGUCUGAACCAGCCAAGUAGCGUGAAGGAUGACUGCCCUAUGGGUUGUAAACUUCUUUUAUAUGGGAAUAAAAUGUUCCACGUGUGGGAUUUUGUAUGUACCAUAUGAAUAAGGAUCGGCUAACUCCGUGCCAGCAGCCGCGGUAAUACGGAGGAUCCGAGCGUUAUCCGGAUUUAUUGGGUUUAAAGGGAGCGUAGGUGGAUUGUUAAGUCAGUUGUGAAAGUUUGCGGCUCAACCGUAAAAUUGCAGUUGAAACUGGCAGUCUUGAUUACAGUAGAGGUGGGCGGAAUUCGUGGUGUAGCGGUGAAAUGCUUAGAUAUCACGAAGAACUCCGAUUGCGAAGGCAGUUCACUGGACUGUAACUGACACUGAGGCUCGAAAGUGUGGGUAUCAAACAGGAUUAGAUACCCUUGUAGUC
rnacentral:rRNA from 1 species